rnacentral:rRNA from 1 species
AUGAACGCUGGCGGCGUGCCUAAUACAUGCAAGUCGAGCGAACAGAUGAGGAGCUUGCUCCUCUGACGUUAGCGGCGGACGGGUGAGUAACACGUGGAUAACCUACCUAUAAGACUGGGAUAACUUCGGGAAACCGGAGCUAAUACCGGAUAAUAUAUUGAACCGUAUGGUUCAAUAGUGAAAGACGGUUUUGCUGUCACUUAUAGAUGGAUCCGCGCCGCAUUAGCUAGUUGGUAAGGUAACGGCUUACCAAGGCAACGAUGCGUAGCCGACCUGAGAGGGGGGAUCGCCCACACGGGACCGGAGAAACGGCCCGAACCCCUAGGGAGGGAGGAGGAGGGGAACCUUCCGAAAUGGGGGAAGGCCGAAGGGGGAACGGCGGGGGAAGGAAGGAGGUUCUUCGAUCGGAAAACUUUGGUAAUAGGGAAGAACAAAAGGUGAAGGUACCAAGCAAGGUUUGAAGGUUACUAAUUAAAAAGGCCACGCUUAACUCGGU